rnacentral:rRNA from 1 species
GCUUCGCGGUUCUGAUUUAGUGCCCCAUGUGUUUUUCUUUGAAACAAACUUGCUUUGGCGGUGGGCCCAGCCUGCCGCCAGAGGUCUAAACUUACAACCAAUUUUUUAUCAACUUGUCACACCAGAUUAUUACUUAAUAGUCAAAACUUUCAACAACGGAUCUCUUGGUUCUCGCAUCGAUGAAGAACGCAGCGAAAUGCGAUACGUAAUAUGAAUUGCAGAUAUUCGUGAAUCAUCGAAUCUUUGAACGCACAUUGCGCCCUCUGGUAUUCCGGAGGGCAUGCCUGUUUGAGCGUCGUUUCUCCCUCAAACCGCUGGGUUUGGUGUUGAGCAAUACGACUUGGGUUUGCUUGAAAGACGGUAGUGGUAAGGCGGGAUCGCUUUGACAAUGGCUUAGGUCUAACCAAAAACAUUGCUUGCGGCGGUAACGUCUACCACGUAUAUCUUCAAACUUUGACCUCAAAUCAGGUAGGACUACCCGCUGAACUUAAGCAUAUCAAUAAGCGGAGGAA